GGGGUGAUGGUCCAACGGGAAGACACCGCCAUGGCAUGGCGGAAAUCCGAGUUCAAUUCUCGGCCACUCCACUA
rnacentral:tRNA from 2 species